AGCAGCGUGGCUCAGUGGAAAGAGCACGGGCUUGGAAGUCAGAGGUCAUGAGUUCAAAUCCCAGCUCUGCCA
rnacentral:tRNA from 1 species